rnacentral:rRNA from 1 species
GUGAGGAAUAUUGGACAAUGGAGGCAACUCUGAUCCAGCCAUGCCGCGUGCAGGAAGACGGCCCUAUGGGUUGUAAACUGCUUUUAUACAGGAAGAAACACUCCCUCGUGAGGGAGCUUGACGGUACUGUAAGAAUAAGGAUCGGCUAACUCCGUGCCAGCAGCCGCGGUAAUACGGAGGAUCCAAGCGUUAUCCGGAAUCAUUGGGUUUAAAGGGUCCGUAGGUGGAUAAUUAAGUCAGAGGUGAAAUCCUGCAGCUCAACUGUAGAAUUGCCUUUGAUACUGGUUAUCUUGAAUCAAUGUGAAGUGGUUAGAAUAUGUAGUGUAGCGGUGAAAUGCAUAGAUAUUACAUAGAAUACCAAUUGCGAAGGCAGAUCACUAACAUUGUAUUGACACUGAUGGACGAAAGCGUGGGGAGCGAACAGGAUUAGAAACCCUAGUAGUCC